UACGUAGGUGGCAAGCGUUGUCCGGAUUUACUGGGCGUAAAGAGCGCGCAGGCGGUCGUUCAAGUCGCGUGUGAAAGCCCCCGGCUCAACUGGGGAGGGUCACGCGAUACUGAUCGACUCGAAGGCAGGAGAGGGUAGUGGAAUUCCCGGUGUAGUGGUGAAAUGCGUAGAUAUCGGGAGGAACACCAGUGGCGAAGGCAAUCCCCUGGGCCUGCACUGACGCUCAUGCACGAAAGCGUGGGGAGCAAACAGG
rnacentral:rRNA from 1 species